GGCUAGAAAAUUUAUUUUUGCCGACGUGAUAAUGAUUGUGGGCAAAAGUACCUUUCAAACAAUGUUUUUUUGUGGCCAGAAAUGUUUUUUCUGCCCACGAUUUUAAUUGGCGUGAGUAGUUUUGCCGACGCAACGUCAAAAACAUGGACAAAGGAAAAGACGACGGGGUUUCAGCCAUGAAGCGUGCCCACACAAAAAAUAAUGUCGUCAAAAGCUCUACCCACAUUUUACUGCGUCGGUGAAGAUGAAAAUUCUUGUAGUGAUCUUCUAGCAAAUCACCACGCAUUAUUGAAUUGUUGUUAGAACGCCUCACAAUGUGGAUCGUCAACCAGCUUCUUGUCGCUAGGAAUUCAUCAACUUCUCCACUACGUUGCUUUCUUCUUCAGGCUCAAUACAUUUCACAUAAAGUUUGCAUGCGAUUGAAAAUGGAAGAGAGAAGGAUAAACACAGUAUUAUAGUGGUUUGGCUUAUAGUCAACAUCUAAACAGUUCAAUUUAGUUCGUGUUUUGUAUAGAUCAACUGAAAUUAUGUUUCUCUU